UACGAAGGGGGCUAGCGUUGUUCGGAAUUACUGGGCGUAAAGCGCACGUAGGCGGAUUGUUAAGUUAGGGGUGAAAUCCCAGGGCUCAACCCUGGAACUGCCUUUAAUACUGGCAAUCUCGAGUUCCGAGAGAGGUGAGUGGAAUUCCGAGUGUAGAGGUGAAAUUCGUAGAUAUUCGGAGGAACACCAGUGGCGAAGGCGGCUCACUGGCUCGGUACUGACGC
rnacentral:rRNA from 1 species